GUACACGAGCGGCGAACGGGUGAGUAACACGUGGGUGAUCUGCCUCGCACUCUGGGAUAAGCCUGGGAAACUGGGUCUAAUACCGGAUAUGACCUCGAGUCGCAUGGCUCUUGGUGGAAAGAUUUAUUGGUGCGAGAUGGGCCCGCGGCCUAUCAGCUUGUUGGUGGGGUAAUGGCCUACCAAGGCGACGACGGGUAGCCGGCCUGAGAGGGCGACCGGCCACACUGGGACUGAGACACGGCCCAGACUCCUACGGGAGGCAGCAGUGGGGAAUAUUGCACAAUGGGCGAAAGCCUGAUGCAGCGACGCCGCGUGAGGGAUGACGGCCUUCGGGUUGUAAACCUCUUUCGACAGGGACGAAGCGCAAGUGACGGUACCUGUAGAAGAAGCACCGGCCAACUACGUGCCAGCAGCCGCGGUAAUACGUAGGGUGCGAGCGUUGUCCGGAAUUACUGGGCGUAAAGAGCUUGUAGGCGGUUUGUCGCGUCUUCUGUGAAAACUUGGGGCUCAACCUUAAGCUUGCAGGCGAUACGGGCAGACUAGAGUACUUCAGGGGAGACUGGAAUUCCUGGUGUAGCGGUGAAAUGCGCAGAUAUCAGGAGGAACACCGGUGGCGAAGGCGGGUCUCUGGGAAGUAACUGACGCUGAGAAGCGAAAGCAUGGGUAGCGAACAGGAUUAGAUACCCUGGUAGUCCAUGCCGUAAACGGUG
rnacentral:rRNA from 1 species